rnacentral:rRNA from 1 species
CGGACUGUGGUCUGCAACUCGACCACACGAAGCUGGAAUCGCUAGUAAUCGCGAAUCAGCAUGUCGCGGUGAAUACGUUCCCGGGUCUUGUACACACCGCCCGUCACACCAUGGAAGUCUGCAAUGCCCGAAGCCGGUGGCCUAACCACUUAUGUGGAAGGAGCCGUCUAAGGCAGGGCAGAUGACUGGGGUGAAGUCGUAACAAGGUAUC